CGAACGGUAACAGGUUAAGCUGACGAGUGGCGAACGGGUGAGUAAUGUAUCGGAACGUGCCCAGUCGUGGGGGAUAACUGCUCGAAAGAGCAGCUAAUACCGCAUACGACCUGAGGGUGAAAGCGGGGGAUCGCAAGACCUCGCGCGAUUGGAGCGGCCGAUAUCAGAUUAGGUAGUUGGUGGGGUAAAGGCUCACCAAGCCAACGAUCUGUAGCUGGUCUGAGAGGACGACCAGCCACACUGGGACUGAGACACGGCCCAGACUCCUACGGGAGGCAGCAGUGGGGAAUUUUGGACAAUGGGCGCAAGCCUGAUCCAGCCAUGCCGCGUGCGGGAAGAAGGCCUUCGGGUUGUAAACCGCUUUUGUCAGGGAAGAAAAGGUUCUGGCUAAUACCUGGGACUCAUGACGGUACCUGAAGAAUAAGCACCGGCUAACUACGUGCCAGCAGCCGCGGUAAUACGUAGGGUGCAAGCGUUAAUCGGAAUUACUGGGCGUAAAGCGUGCGCAGGCGGUUAUGCAAGACAGAGGUGAAAUCCCCGGGCUCAACCUGGGAACUGCCUUUGUGACUGCAUAGCUAGAGUGCGGCAGAGGGGGAUGGAAUUCCGCGUGUAGCAGUGAAAUGCGUAGAUAUGCGGAGGAACACCGAUGGCGAAGGCAAUCCCCUGGGCCUGCACUGACGCUCA
rnacentral:rRNA from 1 species